UGUCAGUUCUACAUACCUACUUAUAUAUCGUCAUAAUAUGGAUGACAGUUUCUAGCCGAUGCCGUAAAGAUUGGACUAUAAGUAAAAGAGUGGACAAC
rnacentral:ncRNA from 1 species